AGUCUAAUGUGAUGGCCCAUCAUACAACCAUAAGGUCAAUCUGAAAAUAUUGCUGAGGUAUCCAAUCAAAGAUCCGGCAUAGAAUAGUUAUCCAACUCCCGCGAUGUUCCCGUAAAUAGAGAGGUUCUGAUGCAAUGUUCGGAGACUAACGUGAAGUGACGUCAUAGAAAACGACGGGACAUCAUCAUUUUCGUUAUCAUCAUCAUAUCAGAAAGUUCUAUUUACGGGAACUUGGUUGGAGUGCUUGACGGGAACAUUUAUACGGCGAGUCUUGGAGAAACAAGACGGGAGCCGAGCUUGACUGGAGUCCGUGGAUCACCCGCAUAGCGUUAUGGUGACGAUCUCGACAUCAUUUCUUUGGUACAAGAAGAUGCCUUUAGAGCUACCGGUUGAGUACCUUUCUCCAUUCACCUUUAGCAUUUCAAAGGAUGCUUCUGCACGACGUGAUGAUAUGAUACCUCAAGGAAGUAACAUGUUCUGUGUUACACUUGGACAGCAAAAAAAUCCAAGCUCACCUUCAUGGCAUGUUGAUGAAGUGAUAAUGCAAUGACGUCACUACACGUAACACAAAGUAGGAAUUACAUAUCAAGGUUUUUUUAAAUGAAUUCUUGAUAUCAAGGAACGAAGUUGACAAAUACAUUUUCGAUUUGAUUUCUUCUUUGACGUCAUGAAGUAAACAUAGACCUAUACAUCGCAUUCAGGGCAUAUAAACCAUUCGGGUAAUUCUGUAUUUGAGGCUCAGUGUUUAAGUACUCAUAUGACCGCUUGCAUUGACUAGGAUAAUGCUUUGCUUACCAAACCCAAUUCUUUAAAUUCCGUGUGUUUUGGCAGGUCGCCCGGUCAAUGUUGCCAUUCAGUACUUUUUAUUAUGAAUACGCUUUUACAGAAUGAUGCAGUAUUCAUUAUUUGAUCGACAUCAAUCAGAUGUUUUCAACCUACAUUACCCAAUAUAUCCAGAAUAUUCUCCAAUAAAUGUAAUAAAUGUAAUAAAAUGACCAUCGUACCAUCUUCACAAAAUAUGUGCCAUACACACACUCUUCUCAUCAAGGCGCGCAUGGUAGGUGCUAUCAGUAAAUGAAACUGAUCCUCCUAAAAACAAGCAAUGCGGCAGGAGUGGUUCACUUGGUGACGGAUGAUGACGGCAUCCAUCAUGAGAAGGACUGAUUUAGUACUGUAUAACCGACUUGAGUAUUCAUCACUGUUUCUUACCAUCACAGACAAACCAUAUCAAUAUUUGCACCGUAUAGAAGUAUGUACUAUACAUAAAAGAAUAUCAAAUUUACACCAAAUGGUUUCCACCCAAGUAUUAAUCUUUUCGUUUUUGUAGUGGCUGAUUUGAAUAUAUGUAUAGGUAUCACGUCCUGAUAUACGCGAUGUUUUGCCAGGUCCUUUUUUUAAUCCUACGUCAAAUACAUAUAUAAAUAUAAUCGAGACGCGGAGUAUAUUGAAAACCACUGGUGCCAGGAUGAUAUAGUUAGUCUGUAGACUUUAAUUGGUAAACGUUAACAGGACUUAUGUCCUUAGACUGAGGAGAAUGACUCCACUGUCUGAGUGUGUUAUGAGUGAUGUGACGCUAGCACAAUCGACAUGACUGAGGGUCGAUUGACAAAGUCAUUCUGUCAAAGACUGACCUGGUUUUAUGUUUAUAUCGAUAUUUCAUCAAAGUGUUGAUGUCGUGUCAGAAAUAUAUCGACAGUCAGUAUAA